rnacentral:rRNA from 1 species
ACUCCUACGGGAGGCAGCAGUGGGGAAUUUUGGACAAUGGGCGAAAGCCUGAUCCAGCAAUGCCGCGUGUGUGAAGAAGGCCUUCGGGUUGUAAAGCACUUUUGUCCGGAAAGAAAUCCUUGGCUCUAAUACAGUCGAGGGAUGACGGUACCGGAAGAAUAAGCACCGGCUAACUACGUGCCAGCAGCCGCGGUAAUACGUAGGGUGCGAGCGUUAAUCGGAAUUACUGGGCGUAAAGCGUGCGCAGGCGGUUUGCUAAGACCGAUGUGAAAUCCCCGGGCUCAACCUGGGAACUGCAUUGGUGACUGGCAGGCUAGAGUAUGGCAGAGGGGGGUAGAAUUCGACGUGUAGCAGUGGAAUGCGUAGAGAUGUGGAGGAAUACCGAUGGCGAAGGCAGCCCCCUGGGCCAAUACUGACGCUCAUGCACGAAAGCGUGGGGAGCAAACAGGAUUAGAAACCCGAGUAGUCCC